GGUCGCUUAGCUCAGUUGGGAGAGCACCUCCCUAACAAGGAGGGGGUCACAGGUUCGAGACCUGUAGCAACCACCA
rnacentral:tRNA from 1 species